AGGAAGAUACCAUUCCAGCAUAGCUCUGAGCCCGAGAAUCUACUGAAAUUUUUAAGACUUCCACAAGUCAGCCUGGUGAGAGUUUAUAAUAGUCAUUCCCCAUUAUAUAUUUCUUUAGGUAUUUGUGAGGUUGGGGCGUCAGAAGUGGAAACUGAAGGGCAAGAUUCUGACAGAUGACAGUCAAACGUGGGAUGAAGAAGAAAAGGUUUUUAUACCCAACCUCCAUGAGAAGUUUGAAAUCAAGGUCACAGAAGCUCGGGGACUGAGCACCCUCCUGGUUGGCAUAGUAACUUGUGACAGCAUCAAUUUCUUCACGACUAGCCCUCAAACCAUCAUUGUGGAUAUAACUGAGCUAGGUACAAUCAAACUACAACUGGAGGUCCUCUGGAAGUAAGUACACUGACUGGGAUGCCAGCUGCCAGCUCACAACGUAUUUUGUUUAAAGGGAGUGACCGACUGGCAUUGCUAAAAGCAAUUUUAGCUGGCCUUGAUGAUUAUACCAAAAUUAAGUCAAGGGUAGGACAAAAUGCCCAGUUUCUGCUUGUUUUGGAAAGGAAAGCAUUUUUAAGGUUUACAUCAAGGCCAAAGUACAUUGGGACUGCAUUGCUCCAGGAGAGAGUGAGUGAGUCCCUACCCACUUGUUCUUUGAAUUUCCUCUCCUGCUAUUAUGGAAGUGUUUAAAAAAGGAAAACCUUCAUUAGGGUUGAUGGAGCCCUUUAUCAUUCUUUAAUACUUCCCUGGGGGUAGAAUUUCAGAAUGAAAGGAAUGGUGGUGAGCUCCAGUGUCUGUGAUUAGAAGAACUUUAGGCUGGCCCUGAAGGACACAGAAGGAGAAAGGGUGGGUUCACAUAUCACAACAAACCACAUCGUGGUUUGUGUGUGUGUGUGUGUGUGUGUGUUUAAACUUCAGUGAACCUACAGACAGGCUCAGGGUGGUAACUUUACUCCCUCCUGCCAUUUCCUUUCCCCACAGUCGUCCAGUCAGUAUCCCAGGAAACUGUACAGGGAGGAAUGAGGCUCUUCUCUUUGACAGAUGUGAUUGUGAGCCCCGUUUGGUUUGCUGCAGCUGUCAAGCUGUCCCACUUGCACAAAUAGGGAGAACGCCCAGAUGAGCAGCAGAGGGGAGGGUGGUGAUCUGGCACCCCUGCCUCUUGCCCCAGGGAGGCCCACUGGAGCAGGAGAUGGGGGUGCUUGACCCAUGCUUGGGCAAAAGGGGGAAGUCUGCUGGUCGGUGUUGGGAAAAGAGCAGCACCGCUCAGCUGGUUCCUCACUGCGCUCCUGCGUGUGCCAAAAGGAAUGCAACUAAGCAAUGCAACAAGCCAUGGUGAUACUACGAAAACAUAGAACACAGUGUGGUGGGUUCUCAAAACCAAAGAUACCGUGCUGAAGUACCUGGAUGGGAUUUGGACAACCCCAGUGGUAAAAAACAACUGUGGCUUGUUAUGUCAUGUGAACCCACCCACUGUGUGUCUGUGCAACCCUUAAUGUUGCUUCUCCUUGGGCAUUUUGGAUGCUACGGGGACUGCAUGGCAGUUGGACUGUACCUUAAUCCUGAAGGCAAAUUGGAUGGCAAUUGCUGACAGCAAGCUGGUUGAAUUAUAUUGGCAGUGCUCAACAGGACAAGACCUCUCUUCUUAUCUGCAGACCAAGUUCAGCUUAGGUAGAGCCAGCUGCCCCCUCCCCCCAUCAGCACUCAGCUUCAUUCAUCCCCCCUCUGGAAGGACAAAUGUUGGGGAGGAGAACCGAGAGACUCAGCUAUGUUGCUUUCUCAUAUGCCUUUCGUAGAAAUUCUGAUACUCCCUGUUGGUGGUAGUUCUGGCUUCCAUUUUAAAAUGCACAGUUGCUUUCCUGCUCUCUGGUCAUGCCUGUACAAAUAAUGAAGAAUGGACCCAGAAGACGAAACAAAAACUUUUAAAGCAGCAUUUGGAUGGCAUCCAGAAUAAUGGGCAACAAACUGCUUACUUAGGUUUAACAGCUUUCCCAUACUGAAUCUUAACAAAGCGACCCUAGAUACGUUGCUCAACCCUUCUCGCGUAAGCACUCUUCUUCUGCUUCCAAAGUUCUCCUGACUUGCUGUCUCAUUUUAACCAUUUUUUAGGCCAUCUUUUUUUUUUUUUGUAAAAACUGUUUGCUUAAUGGUUUGUUAUUAAAAACAGGCUUGAAAUGCUGAA